UAAACGAUAAACCACGAAAAAUCUUACUUAUUUUAAAUAAUUUGUAUACCAUCAUUAUUAGAUAAAUUUUUAAGAAAAAUUUAUUUUAAUUAAUUUUAUUAAAUAUAUUAGAUCAAGGUGCAAUUCAUAAAUAAGAAUAAAUGGGUUACAAUAAAAUUUUAUUUACUAUAGACCUUAUAAAUAAUAUUAUUUUCGAAAGAGGAUUUAAUUGUAAUUUUAUUUUAAAAAGAUAAAAUGAUAUUUGCACUAAAAUAUGUACAUAUCGCCCGUCGCUCGCGGGAAAA
rnacentral:rRNA from 1 species